rnacentral:rRNA from 1 species
UACGGGGGGGGCAAGCGUUGUUCGGAAUUACUGGGCGUAAAGGGCUCGUAGGUGGCCAACUAAGUCAGGCGUGAAAUCCCUCGGCUUAACCGGGGAACUGCGUCUGAUACUGGAUGGCUGGAGUAUGGGAGAGGGAUGCGGAAUUCCAGGUGUAGCGGUGAAAUGCGUAGAUAUCUGGAGGAACACCGGUGGCGAAGGCGGCAUCCUGGACCAUUACUGACGCUGAGGAGCGAAAGCCAGGGGAGCAAACGGG